UACGUAGGGUGCAAGCGUUGUCCGGAAUCAUUGGGCGUAAAGAGCGUGUAGGCGGCCCGGUAAGUCCGCUGUGAAAGUCCAGGGCUCAACCCUGGGAUGCCGGUGGAUACUGUCGGGCUCGAGUCCGGAAGAGGAGUGUGGAAUUCCUGGUGUAGCGGUGAAAUGCGCAGAUAUCAGGAAGAACACCAAUGGCGAAAGCAGCUCUCUGGGACGGUACUGACGCUGAGACGCGAAAGCGUGGGGAGCGAACAGG
rnacentral:rRNA from 1 species